rnacentral:rRNA from 1 species
CCUACGGGCGGCAGCAGUGAGGAAUAUUGGUCAAUGGGCUUACGCCUGAACCAGCCAAGUCGCGUGAGGGAAGACUGCCCUAUGGGUUGUAAACCUCUUUUGUCAGGGAGCAAUUGGCGCUACGUGUAGCGUUAUCGAGAGUACCUGACGAAAAAGCAUCGGCUAACUCCGUGCCAGCAGCCGCGGUAAUACGGAGGAUGCGAGCUUUAUCCGGAUUGAUUGGGUUUAAAGGGUGCGUAGGCGGAGUCUCGAGUCAGCGGUAAAAUUUCGGGGCUCAACCCCGUCGUGCCGUUGAAACUGACGCCCUUGAGUGAGUGAGAAGUAAGCGGAAUGCGUGGUGUAGCGGUGAAAUGCAUAGAUAUCACGCAGAACGCCGAUUGCGAAGGCAGCUUACCGGCGCUCAACUGACGCUGAGGCACGAAAGUGCGGGUAUCGAACAGGAUUAGAUACCCUUGUAGUC